rnacentral:rRNA from 1 species
UGCAUGUCUAAGUACAGUCGUGUUCACACGACGAUACCGCGGACGGCUCAUUAAAUCAGUCGUGGUCUAAAUGGGUCCGUCCUCACGGUAUACUUGGAUAACCGUGGUAAUUCCAGAGCUAAUACAUGCAACUCAUAUCCCGAGGUGUGCAAGCACCGACGGAAGCACUUAUUAGACCAAUGCCCUCGGCGCCGCCCGCCUUGUGCGGUGCGCGUCGCCACUCGCAUAAAUGGUGACUCUGGAUAAUUACCUGGACGAGCGCACGUAUCUGUUUAAGCAGAACGGCGCCGCCUCUUUCGAGUGUCUGCCUUAUCAGCCAUCAAUCGCUCGUUAUGUGCGAACGAUGGCCUUGACGGGUAACGGGGAAUCAGUGUUCGAUUCCGGAGAGGCAGCCUGAGAAACGGCUACCACGUCUAAGGACGGCAGCAGGCACGCAAAUUACCCAAUCCCAGAACUCUGGGGAGGUAGUGACGAAAAAUAACGAUGUGGGCGCUCCUUCUGGGGCCCCACAAUCGGAAUGAGUAUGUCUUAAAUAACCUGUCGAGAACCCACUGAAGGGCAAGUCUGGUGCCAGCAGCCGCGGUAAUUCCAGCUUCAGUAGCAUCUAUUAAAGUU